UUAACUUAUUUGUUUUGUUACUCAGAGAUGCCACUAUAAUACAUGAGAGUUUCGUACCUACGGCGGGCGCUCCCCCGGGGGGGUGCUGCGGCCCCGGGCUGGGGCCGCCCGCCGAAGCAACGCUGACGGAUAGGUUCGCGAUGGUUUCAAGUAGCCUUUCGGCUUCUUUUAAUGAUCCCUCCGCUGGUUCACCAACGGAGA
rnacentral:misc_RNA from 1 species